AGAGUUUGAUCCUGGCUCAGGAUGAACGCUGGCGGCGUGCUUAACACAUGCAAGUCGAACGAACCUUCGGGUUAGUGGCGGACGGGUGAGUAACGCGUGAGAAUCUGCCCUCAGGAGGGGGAUAACGGCUGGAAACGGCCGCUAAUACCCCAUAUGCCGAGAGGUGAAAUGAAUUUCGCCUGAGGAUGAGCUCGCGUCUGAUUAGCUAGUUGGUGUGGUAAAGGCUCACCAAGGCAUCGAUCAGUAGCUGGUCUGAGAGGAUGAUCAGCCACACUGGGACUGAGACACGGCCCAGACUCCUACGGGAGGCAGCAGUGGGGAAUUUUCCGCAAUGGGCGCAAGCCUGACGGAGCAACGCCGCGUGAGGGAUGAAGGCCUCUGGGCUGUAAACCUCUUUUAUCAAGGAAGAAGAUCUGACGGUACUUGAUGAAUAAGCCACGGCUAAUUCCGUGCCAGCAGCCGCGGUAAUACGGGAGUGGCAAGCGUUAUCCGGAAUUAUUGGGCGUAAAGCGUCCGCAGGCAGUCUUGAAAGUCUGUUGUUAAAGCGUGGAGCUCAACUCCAUUUCAGCAAUGGAAACUAGAAGACUAGAGUGUGGUAGGGGCAGAGGGAAUUCCCGGUGUAGCGGUGAAAUGCGUAGAUAUCGGGAAGAACACCAGUGGCGAAGGCGCUCUGCUGGGCCAUAACUGACGCUCAUGGACGAAAGUCAGGGGAGCGAAAGGGAUUAGAUACCCCUGUAGUCCUGGCCGUAAACGAUGAACACUAGGUGUCGGGGGAAUCGACCCCCUCGGUGUCGUAGCCAACGCGUUAAGUGUUCCGCCUGGGGAGUACGCACGCAAGUGUGAAACUCAAAGGAAUUGACGGGGGCCCGCACAAGCGGUGGAGUAUGUGGUUUAAUUCGAUGCAACGCGAAGAACCUUACCAGGGUUUGACAUCCUGCGAAUCCCUUGGAAACUUGGGAGUGCCUUCGGGAGCGCAGUGACAGGUGGUGCAUGGCUGUCGUCAGCUCGUGUCGUGAGAUGUUGGGUUAAGUCCCGCAACGAGCGCAACCCACGUCUUUAGUUGCCAGCAUUAAGUUGGGCACUCUAGAGAGACUGCCGGUGAUAAACCGGAGGAAGGUGUGGAUGACGUCAAGUCAUCAUGCCCCUUACAUCCUGGCUACACACGUACUACAAUGCUACGGACAAAGGGCAGCAAACUCGCGAGAGCUAGCAAAUCCCAUAAACCGUGGCUCAGUUCAGAUCGUAGGCUGCAACUCGCCUACGUGAAGGAGGAAUCGCUAGUAAUCGCAGGUCAGCAUACUGCGGUGAAUACGUUCCCGGGCCUUGUACACACCGCCCGUCACACCAUGGAAGUUGGCCACGCCCGAAGUCGUUACUCCAACCCGCAAGGGAGGAGGAUGCCGAAGGUGGGGCUGAUGACUGGGGUGAAGUCGAAACAAGGUA
rnacentral:rRNA from 1 species